rnacentral:rRNA from 1 species
UAAUACGGAGGGCGCAAGCGUUGUUCGGAAUCACUGGGCGUAAAGCGCGUGUAGGCGGCUUGGCAAGUCGGGUGUGAAAGCCCGGAGCUCAACUCCGGAAUUGCAUUCGAAACUGCCUCGCUCGAGUCCCGGAGAGGGUGGUGGAAUUCCCGGUGUAGAGGUGAAAUUCGUAGAUAUCGGGAGGAACACCAGUGGCGAAGGCGGCCACCUGGACGGUGACUGACGCUGAGACGCGAAAGCGUGGGGAGCAAACAGGAUUAGAUACCCUGGUAGUCCACGCCGUAAACUUUGGGUGCUAGGCGUCGCGGGUAUUGACCCCUGCGGUGCCGCAGCUAACGCGUUAAGCACCCCGCCUGGGGAGUACGGUCGCAAGACUA